CAUAUGUAAUGAAUUUCCAGCCUCCAUGAAAACAAAAUGGACUCUUUCAUGCUGUCUCAACAUAUGAAUACAUUGCUCUGUCACCUGGGUGUUAUUACCGACUUAAAUCUGAAAGAAGCUGGGCACGGCAGUGGUGUGUGGGUGCCUGCAGUCCUGAGGAGCUGGGACUGUUUCCCGAACAAUGCCUUUCCACCACACACGGUGGUUGUGAGGGCCAGCUGAGGCAAAGCCCUCAGGAAGACCACUCAAGCCCAGGAGUCCAGCCUGCGCAAGACACUUUUUUUAGGCUUCUGUCACCACAAAAUGUUACUUGGAAAACUAGAUCCCAGCAGAUGACCUGUACUUCUCUGCUCUCUCCCCUACUGCAAAGAGGCAGUGAGGGCAGCAUUAGUAAGCCUGACUCAGGGGAAGGUAAGUGGCCUGCAGAGAAAUGGUCCUAGGUCCGCAACCGAGGCGAGUGAACUUGUCGGACAGAU
rnacentral:lncRNA from 1 species